AACGAACGCUGGCGGCAUGCCUAACACAUGCAAGUCGAACGAGACCUUCGGGUCUAGUGGCGCACGGGUGCGUAACGCGUGGGAACCUGCCCUUAGGUUCGGAAUAACUCCCCGAAAGGGGUGCUAAUACCGGAUAAUGUCUUCGGACCAAAGAUUUAUCGCCUUUGGAUGGGCCCGCGUUGGAUUAGCUAGUUGGUAGGGUAAAAGCCUACCAAGGCGACGAUCCAUAGCUGGUCUGAGAGGAUGAUCAGCCACACUGGGACUGAGACACGGCCCAGACUCCUACGGGAGGCAGCAGUGGGGAAUAUUGGACAAUGGGCGAAAGCCUGAUCCAGGAAUGCCGCGUGAGUGAUGAAGGCCUUAGGGUUGUAAAGCUCUUUUACCCGGGAUGAUAAUGACGGUACCGGGAGAAUAAGCUCCGGCUAACUCCGUG
rnacentral:rRNA from 1 species